GACGAACGCUGGCGGCGUGCUUAACACAUGCAAGUCGAACGAAGUGGCGAACGGGUGAGUAACGCGUACUCAACCUGCCCUUCAGAGGGGGACAACAGUUGGAAACGACUGCUAAUACCGCAUACUGAAGGAGGGGAUUGCGUCUGAUUAGCUAGUUGGAGGGGUAACGGCCCACCAAGGCGAUGUUCAGUAGCCGGUCUGAGAUGAGAAACGGCCACAUUGGGACUGGGAAGCGGCCCAGACUCCUACGGGAGGGAGCAGGGGGGAAUCUUCCGCAAUGGACGAAAGCCUGAUGCAGCCAUGCCGCGGUUAUGAAGAAGGCCUUCGGGUUGUAAAGUACGUUCAGCGGGGAGCGGUACCCGCAGAAGAAGCACCGGCUAACUCCGUGCCAGCAGCCGCGGUAAUUC
rnacentral:rRNA from 1 species